CAACAGACAUGGGAGUUGAUGCUGCGGUGAGAUCGUCCCAGUUUGAAAACCGUCCACAUUUGUUGGUGUCUUGGCGCUGGUGUCCAGAGACUACUUCUACUCCAACCAAGGGUUCCUCUGCGAUAGACUGGUCCAGUGAUCUGCCACACUUGCGUCUGCAAACCCAGAUCUGGAUCAUCUUGAUUCUGGUCAUGUGGAUGUUCGGGAUGGUCACGUUUACCAUAACGUCACACGCUGCCUCAAUCCCGUGGCCAUGGCAGACGUUUCUUAAAUGUCUGCCAUGGGCCUUCACUAAUGUGUGGGGACGGUGCUGACUCUGUUCCAUUAACGCAGGACCUAGACUUGACCUGUGACUGGCGUCCUCAAACCCAGUUCUGGGUCAUCUUGGUUCUCAGGUGGAAGAGGAACACUGCCUUACUGCUCACUACAAAGGUGGAGCAAUGAAGGCUAAAAUACGAGUCAGUAUGGACAGAAAAAGGAUGAUGGCUGCAUAGUUGACUGGUGGUAAUGUGAACUAGCUCCACAAACCUGGACUUCGGCCAGUUAGUCCAAUGGAGGCCAUUGUUGAGGCGAG